UACAGAGGGGGCCAGCGUUAUUCGGAAUUAUUGGGCGUAAAGGGCGCGUAGGCGGCCAUGCGUGUCUUCCGUGAAAUCCCUCGGCUUAACUGAGGACGUGCGGAAGAAACUGCAAGGCUUGAGUCCGGGAGAGGGGGGUGGAAUUCCCAGUGUAGCGGUGAAAUGCGUAGAUAUUGGGAAGAACACCGGUGGCGAAAGCGCCUUGCUGGGUCUGCACUGACACUGAGGGACGAAAGCUAGGGGAGCGAAAGGG
rnacentral:rRNA from 1 species